rnacentral:rRNA from 1 species
CGUAGGUGGCAAGCGUUGUCCGGAAUUAUUGGGCGUAAGCGCGCGCAGGCGGUUCUUAAGUCUGAUGUGAAGCCCACGGCUCAACCGUGGAGGUCAUUGGAAACUGGAGAACUUGAGUACAGAAGAGGAAGCGGAAUUCCACGUGUAGCGGUGAAAUGCGUAGAGAUGUGGAGGAACACCAGUGGCGAAGGCGGCUUUCUGGUCUGUAACUGACGCUGAGGCGCGAAAGCGUGGGAGCAAACAGGAUU